rnacentral:rRNA from 1 species
GUGGGGAAUCUUCCGCAAUGGACGAAAGUCUGACGGAGCAACGCCGCGUGAGUGAUGAAGGUCUUCGGAUUGUAAAGCUCUGUUAAUCGGGACGAAAGAGCCUAGUGUGAAUAAUGCUAGGAAGUGACGGUACCGGAAUAGAAAGCCACGGCUAACUACGUGCCAGCAGCCGCGGUAAUACGUAGGUGGCAAGCGUUGUCCGGAAUGAUUGGGCGUAAAGCGCGCGCAGGCGGAUCUGCCAGUCUGUCUUAAAAGUUCGGGGCUUAACCCCGUGAUGGGAUGGAAACUACAGAUCUAGAGUAUCGGAGAGGAAAGUGGAAUUCCUAGUGUAGCGGUGAAAUGCGUAGAUAUUAGGAAGAACACCAGUGGCGAAGGCGACUUUCUGGACGAAAACUGACGCUGAGGCGCGAAAGCCAGGGGAGCGAACGGGAUUAGAUACCCUAGUAGUCC